rnacentral:lncRNA from 1 species
UUGCUUCAGUCUCUCUCACUCUUAAUCCAUUAUCAAGUUGAUAGCCUCAAUGUAGAAAUACAGUAACCUAAUCCGACCGACAGAUUAUUAAAUUUACUCAUAGUACAACCCUGAUGACUGUCGAAGCUUUUUUUUGCCAGUCAUACAUACUCUAAGUAUGAACAAAAAUAACAAUCUCAAUUUCUCUUUUAAAAUAAUACACGUAAAUUACAAGUAGGGUAAUAGCAGCCUGAGCCCGUGCCUUAAUGCGCCACGUGCACAAAAAGCACUACGAACAACUACAGAUGUUAUAAUUUGUAAUGGCACACUGCGCAGAUAAUGGUAGUAAAAAUAGUGUCAAAAAAUCGGUUGGGCUCAGCGAUUGCCGUUGCCAUGACUAAACGCAGCCAUCAGACUUCGGACAGAUGAGAGUUACGUUGCGUGUUUAGUGUAUAGUUAUAUUAGUUAUAAUGGUGAAUUGGAAAAACUAAAAAAUCAAAUCUCCAAAGUCGAGUUAUUUCAUCAAUUAAUAUUGUUAUAUAGAACGAUAGGUAGUGCCGAAAUAUGGUAUGACGUUUCGAUUUAAAUUAACGAUGGCAAAAAAUCGGUAGACCUAUCAAAGCCGUUGCGUUGAGGUACUAUAACGUGGUUUUCAUUAUGCCAGCUUGAUAUCAACAUGCGAUCUAUAUUAGAAAGCAAUAAUAAAUUCACUAAAAGAUGAUGAUCUUGAUCAAAUACGACAGUAUUAACCUUUCUUUGCCUCAUGCCUUCUGUUGAUCUGUAUUAUACUGGAAAACGCUUUCAGCUAGUCCGUCGUAUCCUCUCAAUUUACGUCAUCUCACAUUAAAUGCAAAGAAUCUCUAAGGAUCAAGAAUUCGUCAGAAUUACUAACUGAAUGGCAAUGAAAAUUAUGGCAUGGGUGAUACGCUUUGUACCUUGUGUUUCUAUCGCUAUUAUCAUUAUUACACCAAGAGCAUGUGAUAGAAAUUUUUGGACAGCGUACGUGAACUACACCCUCUUUUUCAGUUCCUGCAGCCCACUAGACAAUUUUUCAGCGCAAAUAGGCGUUCCAUAAGUGGCUAAGUUUGUACAGGAGCUGCACUCUGUUAUUUUUGGUGUCUAUACUCAUAGUGUGUCUGUGUCAUUAUAUGUACUAGUGAAAAACUCGAUCGAACGUAAUUCGGAUGCAAUACUCUCUUAAAGUUAGCUCAAACGUUAGCUGCUUGCGCAGUGAAUAGACGCCUGCAGGCUGCCUUAACCUGACUAUCCCUAGAAAUUCAAACGUCUUAACGGCAAUUUGUGGCAGUCAACACAGCAAUAUAAACAGCAAUUGCUGUCAUCGUGGAUCUCUUGGUGAACAGUCCCACUUUUGGAGGUGUGAACGAAUGCCCAAUUGUUUGACUCUUGCAUGGACUAGAGAACGAAUGUACGUAAGCGACAAUAGUAUAUCCUUUGAUAACGAAAAGGAGUACACAAAAUGGUACUUCGAAUUAAUACGUCGAAGGACAAACAGUUAUACUAUUGUGAAUGAAGUCAUGGAAAUGCACCCCUCACGCGGUUACUUCGUAGAACUUUUGAACAAUCAUAAGGAAAAGAAAAUUGAAACUGGUGAGUUCGCUAUCGGAUGUGCUAUUUACAAAAGUUGCUGAAGUUCGUAUCAAAAUUUCAUUUCCUACUCUAAAAACUCUUGUCUGUGACUCAUGCUUUUGUACAUAUCUUUAAUGAAUGAAACACAUUAAAAACGUAAAACAUGUGGUACGUUUGUGGAUCGUUUUACUUUAAAUCAUCGAAUCGACGUUUUGCCAACGUCAAAGGAACGUUCGUCAAUCCUCAGGCGGACUAAUGGGCGCCGUCGCAGAUAGUACCUAGAUAGGUAUCGGUAAUACAUGACACGGACCUUCGGUUACCCUAUAAUACAUAUGUCAAGCUGACUGGAAGCGUGGCGUCGACGCGUCACGCCUCGAGCAAGCAAUAACACAGCACAGCAAGCCAUGACCGUAACCGAUGACUGCGAG